ensembl:snoRNA Small nucleolar RNA SNORD49
AUCGGUGAUGAAAACAGCUGCAUAGGAAGUGCCGUCUGAUGCGAUAACUGACGAUGGCAAAGGCUUUUCUGAGA